rnacentral:rRNA from 1 species
UACGUAGGGAGCGAGCGUUGUCCGGAUUCAUUGGGCGUAAAGAGCUCGUAGGCGGCUUGAUAAGUCGGAUGUGAAACCUCCAGGCUCAACCUGGAGCCGCCAUCCGAUACUGUCAUGGCUAGAGUCCGGUAGGGGCCCACGGAAUUCCUGGUGUAGCGGUGAAAUGCGCAGAUAUCAGGAGGAACACCGGUGGCGAAGGCGGUGGGCUGGGCCGGCACUGACGCUGAGGAGCGAAAGCGUGGGGAGCGAACAGG